UGAAGGCAGUGACACGUCUUCAAAAUUUACUGCAUAACUCGUAAUCAAAAUGAAAUUCCAGAAAGUGUUCAACAUGUGAAUUUAAGCUUACGCAUGACCCGUUCAAAUGAAAGUGGUUUGGAAGAAAAUGGACCCAUUUUGCUCAUUAAAAAUCCAUGGUGACAGAGGCAUAAAUUCUGAGUUUUUAUAAAAUCUAUCCACAGUGAUAUUUCUUCAUAAAACAAACUAUAACUUUCAAUCCAAGAAAAAUUUCAAAACAGUUUCUAAUGCAAAUUUUAGUCCAUUCAAGGAGAUUUCAAAUGGCUAUGGUGUGAUCGAAAAUAAACUUUGUUUGAUUAAUUAAAAUCAGUGACCAUAAUACUAUUAGUGAAAAAUCUAGGAAAACAUUCGACAGUGAUAUACCCUCUCAAUUUGAAACAUAACUUCAUUUUCGUAAAGAAUUUCGGCAGUGGGAAAAACUAAAUAUUUUUCUAGACUCGCAUAUUUCCAAUGGCAGUAAUUUUGUGUCAUUUGGACUCCAAUUUCAAAGUCAAAUUCUCAAUACAACAUAAGUUACAUUCCUGGAAAUUACCACAGUCUGCUAAAAGUGAUAUACACACAUAGAACGAGCCCUAUCUUCCAAACUGUCAAGAAUUUCAGUUAUUCAUACACACCAAACACAAAGUAGACUCAUAUGCCUUUCAAAUGGUGGAGAUUUGAGACCAAUUGGAUAUCAUUUGCUUAGUCAAACGUUCAUCACAAGAGUGUGUAAAUUCCCUGGAAUUCCAUUUCACAGUUUUGGCAUACUUCAGAAAAUGACUAAUAACAUCCAAACUAAAAUAGAUAUUAAAACAAGGUAUUUUCCAUCUUAAAAUUGCAUAACCAUCAUAGAUAUUUUCAUUACUCUACAUAUCAUACAAAUAAGAGUCACAGUUCUGGAAAAUACAAAGCACAUUUCAACCAGAUCUCAAUGUCAUACAUUUACACACAUAUUUACCAUCACAUCCAUAUUCAUGCUUGGACUUCACACUUUGAUGAUCUAAAUAGCAUUCAACAAAAUAAAUUAGAAAACAUGGAAGCUAGAUCCACUUACCUACUGCAAAUGAAACUCCAAAUUCUUCCUCCAACUUCACCUUAACUGCCCAGCUCUAAUGGCUAAUGUCCAAGCUUAAGGAACAAUGUUUGGAGAGCUCAAAUGACCAAGGGAGGAGAGGUGAACGUGGGUGAGAGAGUUAAAAACCCCAUUUCAUGGGUGGUGAGGUGAAUAAAUAAUCACAUAUAGUGGCAGCAUGCAAUGGACAAGUAGUGGUAGCAUGAACCAAGUGGCAUCACACAAAUAACAAGUGGUAUGCAAGAGGAGAGAGAGAAGGGCAAGCGUGGGGGACAUCAUUAUUAUGGACCCAGCAAGCAUGGGAGACAAGCAUCAUUGUGGGUACGACAGCCUUUACCCAUUGGCACACAUGAAAGAGAAGAAACUCCUUAGACUACGAUACCCCACCCGCGUGGCCACAUGCUCCUCAACCCGCACCCUCAACAAGCGCAGCGAUAACCUCUUACUCCAGUGGCAAUACUCCCUUAGGCACGUGGCGAUCCUCCCAUGUGCGUGUGGCGAUACUCCUUCGUCUUCACGCUCAGCAUUAGCCCAGGUGGCGUUACUCCAAACGGCGAUGCUCCACACGACGAGGCUCCACACUACGAUGCUUCUCACAGCGAGGCUCCACAAGGCGAUGCUCCACAUGGCGAUGCUCCUCACGGUGCUACACUUGCGGCACUGCCUCUUACGCGCACGAUGAUACUUCCAUUGGCGCACGAUGAUAGCCUUCUUCCUUAGCGGCGGGUGUGGGCUUCCCCCUCCCUACAGUCGUGAGUAACUUAAGUCUCAAAAAAUUGGGUUCCUUACAUGUAACGACCCAAAUUUUUAGAACUGAUAAAAUAGUAAUAACAAAAUGGUGAUGGUCCAUUUCAUUAGUAUGGAGUUUUGCUCCACUCUUUGCUUGUAAUAUUUUCAUGGUUUAUUUUGCAUACCUUAGGUGGCAAAACUUAUACCUUAGGUGGCAAAACUUAUGUGAAGACAAUUUUUUUAUGAACUGUACACUUUAAAACGCCCCUCUCCCAUGCUAUACUCUCUCUCAUGUCAACACUCCUUUUGAUUUUCUAUUGACAUCUCUUAGUGAGGUGUCACAAAAAGUACUCUCUCUCUUUCGUACAUGAAAGUCACCAUAUAACUCUCUACCUUUCUCUCUCGCUCUGCUUUUAACAUUCCCUCCUCUCUCUAUAUAAUUCCCACCUUUACGUCCUUAAAGCAUCACUCUCUCUCUCUCUCCCUCUCUAAGGCGAGACAAGUGAAGGGCUUGAGGAGGUUCUCUUACCUCACAAGUGGUAGAAGCAGGGUGAGGCAGUGGAAGUGCUUUUGUGGGAAAAGGAAUUUAAGGUUGUGUGCAUCUAAGGUAAGGGUAUUUAGAAGUGUGCAUCAUGAAUGUUUUGUGCAUAGUGUUUGGAUGUAUGCAUGUGUAAGAUUGAAUUUGUAAACCUUGAAGUUGUAUGUUAGAAACCAUGGGUUUGUAAUCUUUAUGAAC
rnacentral:lncRNA from 1 species